rnacentral:rRNA from 1 species
AUGGAUCCUUCGGGAGCUUUUGAUAAGGUUGAAACACCAGUUCUUUCCCAGGGCACGAUGCAGGCAAUGAUGGUAACUGCCUUGGAGUGGGAAGAUGGCCCAUCUUGUGCUCUUUUCGUGGAGGGGACCGAAGACUAUGAGUGGAUGAAUCAAAAAGUAGACAUACCAGUCAAGCAUGUGCAGACACCAAAUGCUUCUAGCUCUGAUGUGCAGAAUUCAAUCCCAUUAGUGCCAAACUUUGACAACACUCCUCAAGUUGAAAGGCCUAGCAACCUCCCAACCGCAGGCCUAGCAACCUCCCAACCGCAACAUUUGACACAGCUCCAAAGCUCCCUAGGGCAAACGACAUUCCGGGGCCUGUGUUUGAUGUGUCCCCCAUCUCAUUCAAAAACGCUUCCUCCGAUGGACCUCAAGUAG